AACUUUUAUUAAAAAUAAAAAUAUCAAUAAGGAUAAGAAUAAGCAAGGGGAUUUUAGGUGUAAUGUCUCAUUUCUCGUGAAAAUACUUUUAUUUGUGAAAUAAACAAUUUUCCCUUCCUCUUGGUGUUUUCAUACUUAAUUUGUGUUGCGGGAACAGUUAGUAUGGGUCCUAAAGCGAUCGGGUGAUAUUUUAGUGUUUUUGAGCCUUUUAAUUGAAUUAUAUUGAUAUAGUUGAUCUUGAUCGAUAUUUUGAAAUUUAAGCGCAGGAUGAUAAUUUCGUUGGUUUCAUUGCAUAUGAAACAUUUUAUUAAAGUUAGUAGGGUGGUGGACAAAGUUUCAAGGCCUUGGGUUGAGCUUUGGGUGUUAUAAACGAGAUGUUGAGCUUUUAGCCUAAAGAGAGGCUGGGGAGGAUAUUUCUAUCAAUUGAUCUUUUUUCGAAAAUUUAACUAUUUCAUUAAGUCUGAAUUGUUGAAUUUAGUGAGAUUACAUGUCCAACUAUUUUUUAUCGGAAUCCAAACAAUUUCGAGGGUCCAAUGAGAAUCCUUUUUCUUGAAUUGACCGGUUGGUUCUCUAGUUUCUGGUGCAGGUAUUUUAGACCAUCGCGAUCGCGGUCAAGGGGCUCGCAUUUGUGAUGUGUAGCCUCAGUGUCCUUCGCGAUUGCGAGAGUUAGUGGCUCGUGAUGAACAGACAUAAUCUAAUUUUAGGAUCCUUCCCCCUUUUUCUUAUUCCAUUAUUUUUCACUCAAACGGAACUUAGGGGAAGCAAAUCUUGGGAGCUUUUGUUGAGUAAACUAGAGUGGAUAAGCUUCACUUAUUAAUUUCUUAUUGUUUCCUCCAAAUUUUAUCGUACUAAAACUCCUUUAAAUCAUGAUUUUAAUAUGUUUUUUGAGGUUUUUCGCCUAAAGUUGGAAGAUUUAUAGCUUUUUGAAUUGGAACUUGUUUCUAAUUACUUGUUUUUAAUGGGCUUUUCAAUCACAAAAUCCUCUUCAGCUAUAUAUAGAACAUGUUUUGCAAAUAAAAAUAUGAUUUUACCCUUUCAACUUUUGAAAAGAUUUUUGGAUUGUUUACCUUUGGUUCCUAACCUUUAUCAUUUGACCUCUUUUUAUGGUUUUUUUUUUUCAUAUUGAUAGUUGGGGAUCGUUUAGAAGAUUUUUUGGUAGAAAAAAAAGGUUUCGGGAGAGUUGUUCGGGUGAAGCUCGAUCUUCGAGGUAGCGAGUUGAUGUGAUAUUGAGAUUGGAGAUUGGUAUAUGAACUGUGAGUCUGCGAUGGUGCUUCGUCUGGAAUCUAAAGUUCGACAAGGUGUAUACAAUAGGUUAUGCGGCAACCUUGAUUUCACUACUCAAUUUCAUCAUUUCAUUGCAUUGAAUUGGUUUGCUUUGUUGUGUUGUAUAACUUGUCUUCCUGUUGA